rnacentral:rRNA from 1 species
AACGAACGCUGGCGGCAUGCCUAACACAUGCAAGUCGAACGAGACCUCCGGGUCUAGUGGCGCACGGGGGCGUAACGCGUGGGAACCUGCCCUUAGGUUCGGACUAACUCCCCGAAAGGGGUGCUAAUACCGGAUAAUGUCUUCGGACCAAAGAUUUAUCGCCUUUGGAUGGGCCCGCGUUGGAUUAGCUUGUUGGUAGGGUAAAAGCCUACCAAGGCGACGAUCCAUAGCUGGUCUGAGAGGAUGAUCAGCCACACUGGGACUGGGACACGGCCCAGACUCCUACGCGAGGCAGCAGUGGGGAAUAUUGGACAAUGGGCUAAGGCCUGAUCCAGCAAUGCCGCGUGAGUGAUGAAGGCCUUAGGGUUGUAAAGCGCUUUUACCCGGGAUGAUAAUGACAGUACCGGGAGAAUAAGCUCCGGCUAACUCCGUG